UGUUUUAAUCUUCUUAGAGGAACUUGUUUUAUAAUCGAUAAACCUCGUUAAAUCUUUCUUAUUUUAAAUAGUUUGUAUACCAUCAUUAUUAGAUAACUUUUAUAAAAUAAGUUAUUUUAAUUAAUUUAUUUAAUUAAAUAUAUUAGAUCAAGGUGCAACAUAUAAAUAAGUAAAAAUGAGUUACAAUAAUAUUUAUUUAUACGAAUUAUAAUUUUAAAUAAUUAUAUAAAGGAGGAUUUAAUUGUAAUUUUUA
rnacentral:rRNA from 1 species